rnacentral:tRNA from 1 species
UGGGAUAUAGCCAAGAGGUAAGGCAAUGAACUUUGAAUUCAUUAUGCAUAGGUUCGAAUCCUAUUAUCCCAA